CUCCACCGCGUUCUCUCUCUCUCUCUCUCUCUCUAUCUCUCUCUCUCUCUCUCUCUCAGCUCCAUUAAUGGCGGCUCACGCAGCUCCCUCCUACCCAGGGAACAAGCCCUCGGGGAAUCCCUACCCUCGGAGGGGCCAGAUCAAGGCCAGGAUCGUCCGCGACCUCAUCUCCGCCGUCGCCUCCAUCGCCGGCCGAUGGAUGUCCGCUGCUGCGGCGGAGCACGCCGGAGUCAGCCGCAGCGCCGCCGCCGCCGAUGUCUCCGCCGCCCCUCCGCCGGAGCAACUCCCGAUGGCCGUCGUCUGACUCGCAGAAACGGAACCCUAAUUCGACCCCGCCUCUCUCUCUCUCUCUCUCUCUCUCUCUCUCUCACGUAUCUCGUUGCUGAUUAUUUUAUCCGAUGCAACGGAAGAAGAAGAAAAGGGAGCGAGAGAGCGAUUUGAUGAUUCGAAUUUCUGUGGCUUGUGUUAUUAUUUUCAUACAUAUUCCGCAGAAUUAUUCUAAUUUUUGUUCUUUUUCUCUUUUUUGGGUAGGGAUAAUUCUCUGUUGCUGAUGUUUUUAUAAGUAUCAGAGGGUCUUUUUCCUUUUUCCUUUUUCCUUUUUCUUUUUUCUUUUUUCUUUUUUCUUUUUUUCGAAUUUUCAGUUCAUAUAGUCUUUUUUAAACUAGUUUUAGGUAAGUGGGGGGCGAUCUCUGUUGCUGUUGUUUGUUUUCGAUUCAGAGGUUUGAGGUUUUAGUCAUUACCUCUGUUGUGUUAUUACAUAUGUAUGUUUAGUGUGCUCGUAUGUAACUUAGUUCUAAUACUUUCUUCUUUUUUUUUUGCAUCAUCUUUUGUUGAGUUUUUUUUUGUUUUAAUAUUUGAAUCUAUUGAAUUUCCCAUGCGCACAAAGAAAUUUGCUUCAAAACAUAGCAUAGAGAUGAAAGCAAAAAAAUAAUAAUAAUAAUAAUCUUAAGUGUGUUUUUUUUUCCAUAUUAAAUGAUCACCAAGCAUGUUUAAUUAGUGAGCGAAAUUGCAAUUAAAUUAGAGCUGAACUAUCAUAAUAAAGCAUAGUUCUUUUAUUUUUCAUUUAAAUUUUUUACCUUAAUAUUGAUAUUAAUGUAGUCACAUGAAUUAUAUAAAAUAUAUCGAUCGAGUUCGUAAAAGUAAACAGGGCAAUUAACUUUUGAAGUAUCAGAAUCAUAAAAUGACACAGAUCACAUAAACUAAAAAGAUUAUAUAGUAAAAUUAUAACUUUUAAUAUUAGAUAGUUGAAUCAUAAUAGAUAAUCUAUUCAGAUAAGUUUCGAUUUAAAAUAGUAAGAUUCAAUACCACUUUUCUUUUCAGGAGCAAAUACUAUAAGAAAAUUAGAUCUCUCUUUCUCCAUUUAUUGGUUCAAUACCAACGAAUAUUUUGGGAAAAAUAUUCAGCCAAUCAAAUGAAAGGCUUACUAAUUCCGAGUCCUCUCCACUAAUAAUUUUUUUUUUUUUUUUAUUUGAAACCAGGUACAGGGUCCAGAAGAUAGGAAAGAGAACAGAGCCAAGACCAGCUCAAAUACAAGUAUGUUAGUAACCAACUAAAAGAGAUAGCACUCGAACCAGAGACAAAGGAUUAGAAGUAGACGACAAUCUUAACUUCCUAUCGCAGAGACAAAGGAUUAGAAGUAGACGACGAUCUUAACUUCCUAUCGCUGAGACCCAUUGCCUGACCGUGUCAUUGAUUACUCUUGCCAGAUUUUCGCUCCAUUGUACCUUGUUAUCGAAUAAUCUCCUAUUUCGCUCUUUUCAUAACUUCCAACAUCCCGCUGCGACGCAGAGAUCAAAACUCUUUUUUGGUUCCCCUGUUAAUAAAUUUCUCGAGCAGCACCAGCGAGCCGCUAACCCACCUGGUGAGGUGGACAUCUGAUGUUGCGCUGUAGAAGCAAAACGCAACAACAGAAUCCACAUUGAUUUGGCAUAGUAGCAGUCUAACAGAAGAUGCUCCAUUGUUUCAGAGUUUGAAUUGCAAAGCACACAAACAGAUGGACCGUACCAACCACGCUUGGCUAGAGCGUCGGCUGUCAACAUCUUAUUUCUCGCUGCAAGCCAUAAGAAAAAUUUGACUCUAAGAGGUACCUUCAAUAUCCACAGAAAGGGGAUUUGGCGGUUGUUGAUUCCGUCAUAGAUCAGGAAAUCAUAGGCGCUUCGUGCAGUAAAUCGUCUAGAUAUAUUCCAUCGCCAGGAAAUCAAGUCCGAAGAAGGCUACGAAAGAACCAAAUUGCUAAUCAAAUUGGCAAGUUGAUUAAGGUCCAGACAUACUUCGGAUUGUUCCGGUGUGCAGAAACCCAGAUUUUGUUGCGACCCAAAGCGUUGAAUCCACUUAUUGACUGAGAGAUGGUUGCGGGUUGCAGCUGCAAAGAGGUUGGGAAAGCGGUUCCUUGGGAUAAGAUCCCCACACCAUUUCGCGUUCUAGAAAGAUGCUAACUUCCCACUACCUAGAGAAAAGUUGACCGAUGUAAGGAACGGAGCAGCAAGCUUGAGCAAACGCGGUUAGGUCCAGUACUCGACGUUUGUAGUGUUUUUGCAUUAGUAGCUGGACCCCUGGCAAGUUUUGAGAGUUGUAGAAGCUCCGAAGACCCUUCAUUGCUAAUCAAAUUUCUCAGUCAAUUAAAAAAAACAAUUAAAUUAGCUACCCUUUAUUCACCAAUAAUGCAUUAUUGACUGAGG
rnacentral:lncRNA from 1 species